AUGAACACUCUUGACUCUGCUUCGGAUUCCCCAGUGAUAAUUGUAUCGAGUGAUGAAAGAGCUGACGGCGACAUUUUAAUGUAUGAUUGGCUUGGACCAUUGGAAUGAAGUCAUUUCAUGGUGCCACCACUUGGGAUGGUAUUAGCUGCAAAUAUAGACUUGUACUCAGCACUUACUGCCUUUAAGAAGUAUGCGAUCCAUUUUGUGCUAACACCUACCGUGACACAGAAUCUUGGUUUAUGCAGUCUCAUAGGAGUAACCUGUCUAAAGCAUUUAGCAAUGGGAUUGGAACCUGCGACGUGUGACUCAUCUGAAUACUGAAUUUUGAUACCAAGCAUGACCAUGAUUUGCCAGAAGAUCAUCUGUUUGGAUGUGACAUGGAAUAAACAGCAUAGUGAAAAUAAGUCAAGUUUUGGUUUGUGAAGACAAUUUUUAAACACACUGUGUAUCAUUUUUAAAUUUUGAUUUGACAACAUAAAUCCACAAAUAUGAACAUAUCAAUUGCUCUCAGUUUUUCAAGUGAAAUAGUUUUUGUAACAGAAAUACAUGUACCAGUAAUUACAUUGGAAUAAAUGUUAUUUUUAAAUAUAAUAAUAUUUUGUUUGUGUAGCAUGUUGACCUCUUUAUUAAGGUCUUCCCUUUCAAAGUUUAGACUUACUUAUUCUAAUGAUUAAGAUAGAUCCUCUGUCUUCAGCAGGAAUAUAAGAUCUUGUAAUACAUGUA